AUUGAACGCUGGCGGCAGGCCUAACACAUGCAAGUCGAACGAGUGGCGGAAGGGUGAGUAAUGUCUGGGAAACUGCCUGAUGGAGGGGGAUAACUACUGGAAACGGUAGCUAAUACCGCAUACCAUCGGAUGUGCCCAGAUGGGAUUAGCUAGUAGGAGGGGUAAAGGCUCACCAAGGCCACGAUCCCUAGUUGGUCUGAGAGGAUGACCAGCCACACGGGAACUGAGACACGGUCCAGACUCCUACGGGAGGCAGCAGUGGGGAAUAUUGCACAAUGGGCGAAAGCCUGAUGCAGCCAUGCCGCGUGUAUGAAGAAGGCCUUCGGAUUGUAAAGUACUUUCAGCGGGGAGGCGUUACCCGCAGAAGAAGCACCGGCUAACUCCGUGCCAGCAGCCGCGGUAAUAC
rnacentral:rRNA from 1 species